ensembl:lncRNA
AUUGAAACUUGCUACUCCUCCACAACAAGUUGAGCGUGAGAGUCAGUUUACUCAUUUGACCGUAACACUACAUUGGGCCUCAUUACAUCCAGCAGCCUCCAUGGACAUGGACCCACCAGGGUCCACCAGGGUGGUGGGUCUGGAUGCCCAGGGCAACAUGGUCUUCACUGUGGUGAAACCAGUGAUGGGCAUCUACCAGGUGUCUUCGGAGCAAACGGGCAGUGUCGCACACGGGGGUAUGGGGCUCCAGGGUUUGUCCGAAAACACGUUGAUCCUCCCUGAAGUGCAAGGCCAGGCGCCGCUGGACCAGAACCAGACGGAAAUGCACGGCCUCCAGCCUAAUAUUCAGAUGCCCCACAUGCAGAUUCCUGUCCCAGUGCAGACCGAGCUCGUGUCCCAGAUUCUGGACCCGCAGCCCGACGCCGGCACAAACCCCGAGUCGGCCUCCCAUAUGCCUUUUGCAGAGGUGUCGUCACUCCUGGACCCCAACAUGAAAGGAUCCAAGGCGCGGAAAUACCUCAUCUCGUACGAGGAGAUCAAGCGGCGCCUGCAGGCCCCGGAGAAGAUGUCCCUGCGCUCCCUGGCAGCCUACACUCGGGUCAGCCGAGGUCCAGCCAGCAAGAAGACGCUGCUGGAGUCGCUCAACGUCCUCGGCCUCACGCCGAGCACAACUACCUCCGUGUCCUCCUCGUUCUCCAAACUCACCGAAGGCGACACCGGGGCUUUGUGUGACGACAUGAAGGACUUCGCCCACGACUACAUCGACUGCAGCCACAUGGCUAAGCAGCUCAUCCCCGAGACCAACACGGUUCAACACUGGUCCAAAAUCAUUGAAACCAAGAACCACCUGGAGGAUAUGAGGAGAUGCUUCAAGGACCCGGUGAACAGCGGCGCGUUUGACAACGUCACUCACGGCCUGGGUCUGGGAGCGCUGGACGUCGCGCUGGACGUGAUCGUGAUGGUCAUCGAGCAGCAGAUUCGGAUCCUCUCCGGGGCGGCGGCGUCGGACCCGGCCGACUCCGGUCCGCCGAUGCGCCGCGUCCGCCGGCGGCACCGCAAAGCCCGCUCGACCGACAACGAGAGCCCCCGCAAGGUGUCUGCGGGGGUCAAAGAGCCGGGGAGGGCCAUUUCCAAAGGCAAAGGGCGAGGCCGGUCCAGGAAUAAGAUAAGACAGGAAACCGGCGCAGCGGUUCCCAUGGAAACCCAAGCAGAACAAUGCAAGCCCGAUGAGGUGGAGAAUAACGUCCUAACCCUGGUGUCUGUCGGAUAUGAGACCGUUUCUUGUGAACUGAAUGCAGCCGGAACAGUUUGA